CGCAUAUAGUUCAAUGUACAUAAUUAAAAACUGACUGCAUACCAGCAUCACACGAAUAGUUCAUAAUUUUUAGAAGAACCGAUAAUAUUAUUAUGUUUCUAGAACACAAGUGUUGUUGUAAUAUUACUAUCGUUUGUUUUAUAGCGUUGUCUUAUGAAGUUGACAAUUAAUAAAUUCUCUGCAGAUAUAGUCAGUGUUAGAACAUGUUCGGUAAACUAUUUUUUUAGUGUCAUUAUGUAACUUAUAUGUGUUGUUGGUGCACGAUUGGCCGUCACGGCGGCACACAAUAUUAUAUAAUAAUAUUAUUACGUGACGAUUACGCUAUUUUCACCGGGAUCCGGGUCAAGGUCAUGCUCCAAGACUAUCGAUGUCCGGCGUGCCUCGCCUUUCCUGGCCGGUUGCAAUCUAUAGUGCAGCCUAGUACCCCGCGGCCUAUUAGUAUGGUCUGAUUUCGUGAACCGUUCGUACCGUCGAACUUGUGUUCGUGACAAAGAUAUUAAAAUAUUGUUCCGGUCGAAUGUGCUCCGCCGCCCAGUCUCACCGCCGUAAUGCUUACCGCUUCAUCCGAGUAUACUUAUGACCAACCGCCCUAGGUUGGAUGAAGUAUUAAAAUCCGUAGUUGUAAGUCUCAAAAGUGUCCGUGAUUUACAACCGCGGACGCUUAUAAUAUUGCACGGGCUACGCACCCAUCCACACAACAGUUCGUUAGUGUGGACACCGGCCCGUGCCCUUUCAUAAGGCCUUUGUGCCACCCUCCAGACAGUACUCCAGUCAACGUCCAUCAGCCAUCUGCGUCCCACAUCGCCCGGUCACCAUAGUUCCUGCCAACUGCUGAGACCGCAGCCCAAGUCUCCGCGAAAAGGUUGGGUCAUUUGUGAGUUAUGUAAUAGAGAACACCGAAUUCAUGCGUUUUACUGACUGUCCAAGGAGUUGUACAUUAUAAUGAAGGUUCUCGUGAGAUUUUUUCUCCCGGGACAAUACCAUUAUAUAAGCCAACAUAUCUUGCACCAAAUGGACGAGAAAAUACUACACUAGAACUAUUUUGUCAGCCUAAUGGAACGUGAAAUAAACAACUAUAUAGAUGCAAUACAUUAUACAUCAUAAGCAAAAUAUUGAUAAACAAUGGUGAAAAAGCACUUUUUGGAACGACACCUUGGAAUGUUAGAAUAUGUCGAUUAAAUAAAACAAAUUCCAAUCAUUAUUUGAUAUGCGUGGAGGAUCAAUUAUUGCUUCAAACUUAAUAGUUCCUGGCUCAUUGUUUUUGGAAAAAUGGUAUGUUAUCUAAUAAUAUAUCUAUAAUUGACCGUCUAUACAAAGUUGCUGCUGGAAAAUAUUAUAGAACCAAUUAAUGACUUAAAAUUUCCUCAAAUAACCAAUGUGGAUAUGAUUCACUCGAAAGAAGGUUAUUACGGAUCCUAUGGGUUUCAUGCUGAAUAUAUAGCUAUUAUUGUGUUACAAAAGAGUUUCUUUUAGGAAUGGUGUUGUACCUGUUUGUGUUGAUUGGAAUGGUGAAUAAUAUAGUCAAUGGAGAUCAAAAAAAGUGACUGUUGAUAAGUUUUGUGCCUGUUCUGCAUGGGAGAAAAUGCAGUGAGAUUAUCUACAAGAGAUUGCAUAAGUACCUACAAUAUUUUGGCAUGUUAUUACAAUACAUAAAUAAAAGUGGAUAAGUGUAUGUCGCUCUGCUGUACAGUAUGUUACAAUUUCAGAACAUAGUGUGGACGAAGGAGACAGCGAAUCAGAAUCAUGCUUUUUAGACGCUAAUUGGUAUUAUUUAUCGGAAUAGUGAGUGUCAAGGAUCCAGAACUGAAAAAUUCAAUUGCAGUUUCUACAGAAGUUAAGUACCACAUUUAAUGGAUUCAUAAACUGUAUAACCAUUAUAAAUAAGUCAAAUAUAAUUAAGGUAAUGUUAUUCCAAUUGUAAUUGAAAUACAUAUUUGUAUAUUUUGAAUAAUUAGUAUUUUUAUUAUGUUUAACAUUUUUUAACAGUUCUUAUAAUUGUUCAUUAAAAUUAAUAAGAAUAGGUACGUAUGUAUUCAUUUUGUAUUGUACACACAUAUAUUAUAUAUAAGCCAAAUAAUACUCACUCGCUAACUCACUCACUCACUGCAUCUUAAUCGCAA